rnacentral:lncRNA from 1 species
CUCAACCUUAGCCUCGCACAGAACCCUAAGUCAGAUGACAGUCAGCCCUGUGCGUGGCCAGGGAGUGACCACUAUGACGGAGAACCAGUCAUCUCACAAUGACCCCACAAGGGCACAGAGGAGAGGACAGGUGGGAGGUCAGUGCAGGCCUGUUCCACAAGGUGCCUCAACUCAUUGUACACGUCUUUCCAAGGAUAGAUGCAUUAAGUGAGAUCCAGACAUGGGGAGUGAAUGUGAGCUUCACACUAGCAGAGGCAGGCCUAGAACUCAAGACUCCUGAUUCCCAAUUCAGCGUUCCCUCCACUGAAUGCAAAAUGAUGUGUUAUUUCUGAAAACACACGCACUAGAGGCCUCACUAACUGAAGAGAGCUUUAGAGGAACAUCCCAAGAAGCCGCUGUUGAAUUAUCAUCCCCAAGUGUGGCCAAAUUAUACAGUAUGAGAAAGUCAAAACUUUCAAAGAGCUGACAUAGGACACAGAGCAAGAAGGCUGUGGGGCAGAAAGAACAUGAAAUUUCCUUAGGACACCAAAGAAUGGCAUGCAGGUAAGCUCUAAGCAGCCCAGAGGCAUAGGCUGCUCUGCACACAUUCUAGAUCUGGCUGGUCCAGUACAGUAGCCAUCAACCAUAUGUGAUUGUGGAGCAUCUGCAACAUUUGUAGUGUGAAUUAAAACGUGCUG